UGGGGCGUCGCCAAGUGGUAAGGCAACGGGUUUUGGUCCUGGUAUUCGGAGGUUCGAAUCCUUCCGUCCCAG
rnacentral:tRNA from 6 species